GACGAACGCUGGCGGCGUGCCUAAUACAUGCAAGUCGAGCGGACAGAUGGGAGCUUGCUCCCUGAUGUUAGCGGCGGACGGGUGAGUAACACGUGGGUAGCCUGCCUGUAAGACUGGGAUAACUCCGGGAAACCGGGGCUAAUACCGGAUGUUUGUUUGAACCGCAUGGUUCAGACAUAAAAGGUGGCUUCGGCUACCACUUACAGAUGGACCCGCGGCGCAAUAGCUAGUUGGUGAGGUAACGGCUCACCAAGGCAACGAUGCGUAGCCGACCUGAGAGGUGAUCGGCCACACUGGGACUGAGACACGGCCCAGACUCCUACGGGAGGCAGCAGUAGGGAAUCUUCCGCAAAUGGACGAAAAGUCUGACGGAGCAACGCCGCGUGAGUGAGUGAAGGUUUUCGGAUCGUAAAGCUCUGUUGUUA
rnacentral:rRNA from 1 species